GAGUUGCCCGUCACAAGGCUUAUGUACCUCGGUACGUUCACUGUGAACAAAUCAGGACGCUUAGUGUAUGGCUUCAUGAAUGACUCAGCGCAGUAUGAUAUCUUUACCUUUUGGUAAGAUCAAUGAGAGCCACCGGGGGUAGAUCUAUUUCAUGGCGAGCGGUGGAAUGCUCUGACCCAUGAGAGAGAAACGAAGGCGAAGGCAUCUACCUAGAGGGUUUCUGUCGAUCAAGGGCGAGAGUAGGAGUAUCCAACCGGAUUAGAGACCCGGGUAGUUCCUACCUUAAACGAUGCCGACAAGGGCUUGUCCAUUCUUUGGGCAGGACCUUGAGAGAAAUCAUAGUUCUUGGGCUCUGGGGGAACUACGACCGCAAGGCUGAAACUUGAAGGAAUUGACGGAAGGGCACACCAGGGGUGGAGCUUGUGGCUUAAUUUGAAUCAACACGGGGAAACUUACCAGGACCAGUUGUUUUUAUGACUGACAGUCUUCCGGGCUUUCAGGAUUAGACUUUUGGUGGUGCAU
rnacentral:rRNA from 1 species